rnacentral:rRNA from 1 species
UACGUAGGGGGCAAGCGUUGUCCGGAUUUAUUGGGCGUAAAGAGCGUGUAGGCGGCCAGGUAGGUCUGCUGUGAAAACUCGAGGCUUAACCUCGAGCUGUCGGCGGAAACCAUCUGGCUAGAGUCCGGAAGAGGAGAAUGGAAUUCCCGGUGUAGCGGUGAAAUGCGUAGAGAUCAUGAGGAAGACCAGUGGCGAAGGCGGGUCUCUGGACAGUUCCUGACACUGAGGCACGAAGGCCAGGGGAGCAAACGGG